CGAAGCAGAGAUGCGCGAUGGAGGAGAACGCCGCCAGGAACGCUGAGCCGCUACUGCUAUCUGUGCCGUCUCCGUCAUCGCCAGUUCCCAUACCGCCGCCGUCGUUGACGAGUCCAGCCGUCGCCAUCACCUAUCUAUUUUUGUUUAUAGUGGUCAGCUGCCGGGUCAUGCAGGGGAGAGGAGGCAGAACCACGCGCAGCCACUGCCGUUUUUGCCGCCAGGAAACCCCACUAUGCCUCUGGUUGCCGAGAAACGGUGUGGUUACUGUAGGAGGUCGCCACCGGAGCCGCUGCUCCAUUCUGCCAUUCCUUUUCAUCACAGUUUGUUGCUGAGCCACUGGAGCUUCUGGCCACUGACGGAGCUGCUGCCAGGUUGAUAUAGAGCUGUGGCUGCCUCGUUUUGUUAAUUCAGUUUGAGCUCUGAUGUUCGUGUGUAGCAUAAGUGUUGCGAAGGCUGCUGUGCCAUUCCUUUUAUUUCAGUAAGUGUCUCUAUCUCAAAACCUUCGCCAUUAGCUUUCAGUUAUGAAUUUUGAGAUUUUUCGCGAUAUUGAUGUAUAAUAAAUUAGUAUUCGAGCUUAUAUGUGGCAUUGAGGCUGUUUCUACCAUUGAGAAAAACAA